ensembl:lncRNA
CAAAUGUUCCAGAAAAGGCUGAGCACUGGAGAACAGAGCAAAGGAAAAGCAGAAACAACUCUACUAACACUGAGGCUGGAGGAAAAUGGAGAGGGGAGGAGGAGAGCACUGAAUGCUAAGAGCAGAGGUGGCUUGACAGCCUAUGGAGCCUGUUUUGCCCACAGUGAGAAUGGAGUAGAAAUUUGUUCCAAACACUCAAGAUCUGAUAACUGAUUCCCAUUUAGAUGUCAUUGAGACCUCUGGGAAGUACAGAAUAAUCAGAGCACAGCAGGCACCAGUCAUGAAUCCUCCAUUCUUCACAGCCAGCCUCUGACAUGCUCUGGUGGACAGGGAGAGGACACUGAGUGCAACGGCACAUCACCAAGUCAUCCCUUCUCUGAAAGGGGCCAUGCUUUCAGAGGCUGAAAAAUCAUCCCUGAUGCACCUUGUCUCUGGUAUCUAAAGGAUACAUAGACAUGUCCAGCACAAUCUAAGAACCACAUAUACUGAGUAGCAGAGGAUUCAAUAAAUCUUCCUAUUCUGUGUCCAGUUGCCUCUUAUUAAGGCUCCAAUGGGCAUAUGUGCCGGGAAGCUCAUGAAUAAGCAAAGUCCUCCAAAAAUGGUUUUACCAUGUCUGAGCAGAAGAAAAGAAACGCCUCCUUGACCUGAUCUGACACCCCUGCCGAUGCAGCAAGCAGUUGUCUUCUCUGCUGCCAGGACACACUGCUGACUCUAAUCUACUAAGACUCCAGGGGAUUAUAGUAUUGACCAGACUUCUGGAGCCAUUCUCAUUUUGAUGUUUAAUAUUCAGUUUCUUUUUCCUGCACCAGCUGGAUGAUUUGGAAAAGCCUGCAGAGCUGUCAUCUCUCCUGUAUUUUAUUUCAAUGCAGAACAAUUCACUCCUGAGUCUUUCAACCAAAUAUGCCAAGCAGCAUACAAAAGCCAAAUGAAACUCAUGUUUCUAAUAGUUAUCACUGUAUCCUGGGACAUUGAGAGAUAACACUAGAAAAUCAUUCAUGAGCAACAGAGAGAAUAAAACAUAUUGCUACUGAUGGUAGAAUAGACAAAGAGAUAAUUGUAGCAUGGGAUGUACGUACAUUGUACAUGGUUUGUACUUUAAAUCUCAAAAUCUGAAGAAAACAAACAAAGGUUAUUGCUCCACCACCUUUGCUUAUUAUUGUAAUUGUCUAUAUUGUAUUCCCUCUAUCUACCCUUUUGAAUACCUUCAUGACAAUUUGACAGGUGCUCUUGGCACAUCUUUAAUGACAUAGAAAUACAUGCAAAUUCACAGGGGUGUAGCCAUAUAGUGUUUCAAUGAUGCAGAACUGGAAGAACUGACCUCCAAAGAAAGAUGAAGUUUUCAGGAGCCACUGCAGCAGCACUCCACCUGUGAUCUCCGUCACCAGAGACUGGUUUGUCCACAAAGUACCACUGCUGCAGGAUGAAAGCAAGAAAAAUCUCUGCAUUUGUGCAAAAGCUGUGUUUGUGGAAAAAGAAAGGAAAGGGAAAAGGAAAGAGGAAAAAGGUUAGCUCCAAUGACAAGCAGGGAAGCAGAUUCUGCUUUCCCUUAGUACGUUGUGGUAGCCUGAUACUAACCUUCACAGGUAGGAGACAAGACAGGGCUAAAGACCUGGAGGAGAAAGUUAGUACAGGUAAUUCAUGCCUCUUGGUAGCAGUUUUCUUGCAAUGCUUUGACUAGAGUUCACCACCAAAACCUCUAUUUUUAGUUACACAUUCUGCAGUCAAUUUCUUUGUACAAUAACUGAAAAUAAAGAAAUUGCAUGGACACCACAGGAAAAUGAAGACACAAAGGCAAACAAAGAAUUAUCUGCCUGAGGGAAGGAGAAGUAUUCUAAAGUUCAAAAUGUGUUACAACGUUAAUCAUCUGAUCAAUACCAGUAAUCUCAGUGCAGAAAAAUACAUGGGAUUUGGUUUUUAAGUAGGUACAUGCAUUUUGGGGAAGUUCAUCUUCCCUAUAUUUUGUCUGUGAAGGAUGAGUUCAUCCUCCUAUACACCAGUAAGUACCAAAAUGAUAGUGAGACUUUCUACAUGAGAAAAAAGAAUUUCCCAUAGGCAGAAAGGAUGAGGAAUUCCAAACUUUUUAUUAUACCACCCAUUUCAGAAGUGCAUACCAAAGUAAAAACAUAGCAAAAAAAUGCGUAUGAGUUUGUGGUAACACACUAUUUGUACAGCAGCCCUCAGGCACAGCUGUAACUCAUGUAGAUUCCUAAGGACUUUUGAUUUAAAUUCUGUGUUUUUCUAAAAGUGCUCUGUUGAGACAACAAAAUGACUGUAAGCCAAAACCCACACUUUCGUUUCUAUCUACCCUCAGCUGCUAUUAUGCUGCAUUUAGAAAUACACAGGUAGGACAAUUACAGUACUUUGUUGCUAUAUUACUCUGAAAUUAAAUUUGAAAAUGAUGUUUCUUUAAAACUACAGAAAGACAUAAAUAUACCUUAACUUUUUUCUUUUUCUUUUUUUUUUUUUUUCCCAAGUUACACCUAAUAAACAUUGGCAGCAUGAAAACAACAGCUUUGAGCAAUUAGGGGACCCAGAUACAAGGGUUAAAUUUUCUUAAAUAAAAC